UGCGGCGUGCUUAACACAUGCAAGUCGAACGGAAAGGCCCUGCUUUUGUGGGGUGCUCGAGUGGCGAACGGGUGAGUAACACGUGAGUAACCUGCCCUUGACUUUGGGAUAACUUCAGGAAACUGGGGCUAAUACCGGAUAGGAGCUCCUGCUGCAUGGUGGGGGUUGGAAAGUUUCGGCGGUUGGGGAUGGACUCGCGGCUUAUCAGCUUGUUGGUGGGGUAGUGGCUUACCAAGGCUUUGACGGGUAGCCGGCCUGAGAGGGUGACCGGCCACAUUGGGACUGAGAUACGGCCCAGACUCCUACGGGAGGCAGCAGUGGGGAAUAUUGCACAAUGGGCGGAAGCCUGAUGCAGCAACGCCGCGUGCGGGAUGACGGCCUUCGGGUUGUAAACCGCUUUCGCCUGUGACGAAGCGUGAGUGACGGUAAUGGGUAAAGAAGCACCGGCUAACUACGUGCCAGCAGCCGCGGUGAUACGUAGGGUGCGAGCGUUGUCCGGAUUUAUUGGGCGUAAAGGGCUCGUAGGUGGUUGAUCGCGUCGGAAGUGUAAUCUUGGGGCUUAACCCUGAGCGUGCUUUCGAUACGGGUUGACUUGAAGAAGGUAGGGGAGAAUGGAAUUCCUGGUGGAGCGGUGGAAUGCGCAGAUAUCAGGAGGAACACCAGUGGCGAAGGCGGUUCUCUGGGCCUUUCCUGACGCUGAGGAGCGAAAGCGUGGGGAGCGAACAGGCUUAGAUACCCUGGUAGUCCACGCUGUAAACGGUGGGUACUAGGUGUGGGGUCCAUUCCACGGGUUCCGUGCCGUAGCUAACGCUUUAAGUACCCCGCCUGGGGAGUACGGCCGCAAGGCUAAAACUCAAAGGAAUUGACGGGGCCCCGCACAAGCGGCGGAGCAUGCGGAUUAAUUCGAUGCAACGCGUAGAACCUUACCUGGGUUUGACAUGGAUCGGGAGUGCUCAGAGAUGGGUGUGCCUCUUUUGGGGUCGGUUCACAGGUGGUGCAUGGCUGUCGUCAGCUCGUGUCGUGAGAUGUUGGGUUAAGUCCCGCAACGAGCGCAACCCUUGUUCACUGUUGCCAGCACGUUAUGGUGGGGACUCAGUGGAGACCGCCGGGGUCAACUCGGAGGAAGGUGGGGAUGACGUCAAGUCAUCAUGCCCCUUAUGUCCAGGGCUUCACGCAUGCUACAAUGGCUGGUACAGAGAGUGGCGAGCCUGUGAGGGUGAGCGAAUCUCGGAAAGCCGGUCUCAGUUCGGAUUGGGGUCUGCAACUCGACCUCAUGAAGUCGGAGUCGCUAGUAAUCGCAGAUCAGCAACGCUGCGGUGAAUACGUUCCCGGGGCUUGUACACACCGCCCGUCAAGUCAUGAAAGUUGGUAACACCCGAAGCCGGUGGCCUAACCGUUGUGGGGGAGCCGUCGAAGGUGGGACUGGUGAUUAG
rnacentral:rRNA from 1 species